GAUGAACGCUGGCGGCGUGCCUAAUACAUGCCAGUCGAGCGAACAGACGAGGAGCUUGCUCCUCUGACGGUAGCGGCGGACGGGUGAGUAACACGUGGAUAACCUACCUAUAAGACUGGGAUAACUUCGGGAAACCGGAGCUAAUACCGGAUAAUAUAUUGAACCGCAUGGUUCAAUAGUGAAAGACGGUUUUGCUGUCACUUAUAGAUGGAUCCGCGCCGCAUUAGCUAGUUGGUAAGGUAACGGCUUACCAAGGCAACGAUGCGUAGCCGACCUGAGAGGGUGAUCGGCCACACUGGAACUGAGACACGGUCCGGACUCCUACGGGAGGCAGCAGUAGGGAAUCUUCCGCAAUGGGCGAAAGCCUGACGGAGCAACGCCGCGUGAGUGAUGAAGGUCUUCGGAUCGUAAAACUCUGUUAUUCGGGAAGAACAAAUGUGUAAGUAACUAUGCACGUCUUGACGGUACCUAAUCAGAAAGCCACGGCUAACUACGUG
rnacentral:rRNA from 1 species